GCUGGCGUCAUGCCCAAAAGAAGAAGAGGAAGAGUAGGUUCACGGGCCGGCCUGCGUGGUGCCAUAAACCUUACUUUUUCUCGUGUUUUCCUUCAAACUACAAUGAAGAGAAGAUCCACAGCCUGUGAGAAGAAGGUGGAGAGUACAGUGGCGGCCAGGGAAAGGAAGAAACACCGCAGAGAAGCCUUCAUAUGACGAAAGUGCCCUUCCACUACGCCACCACCACCACAACCACAACCACCACCACCAAAUCACCACACUAAGGUUCGACAAAAGGAGGCGCCUCAGAAGACCCCAAGGGAGAGGAAAAUCCAGAAUCCAACGGUAGCAGUAACAUCACUUCUGUCCGGGAACAGAAGGCCUCCACCAUGUUUAGACACCCAUGCCAUCACUGCUGCUGGUGAUGCUGUCGGCCCCUCCACACAGCUGACCUUACCUUUGACAACUAACCAGGAUUUCCUACAAGACAACAUCCCCAAGCUUCAGGAAUGGAUCAAAAAGUGGCUGCUACAAUUCAAUGAAGAAAAAAGGUAAAGUCCUGCACCUUGGGAGGGGAUAUCCAGCACACCAGUACCACAUGGGAAACACUCCACCAUCCACCACAGAGGCAGAGAAAGACCUGGGACUAUAUGUUACCAGGCUACCAGUGAAAGCUAAAUCCGUGCCAAUUGCAGUGGACGGGACACAUGCUACCUACAACCCCCCCUUCCGCAACAUAAGAGCCAGGUAAUAUCUACACCUUGGAACCUUAUGUUAAGUCUUGUACUGGGAAAAUGUUAAUAAAGAGUUAAAUAAUCUAUGUGUUUGUUUA